rnacentral:rRNA from 1 species
AAUCAACGCUGGCGGCGUGCCUAACACAUGCAAGUCGAACGAGAAAGAGGGAGCAAUCCCUUGAGUACAGUGGCGUACGGGUGAGUAACACGUGACUAACCUACCUUCGAGUGGGGAAUAACUUCGGGAAACCGAGGCUAAGACCGCAUAACAUCUUUGGGUGAAAUUCCCAUGGAUCAAAUGCGCAAGCAGCUUGAAGAGGGGGUCGCGGUUGAUUAGCUAGUUGGUGAGGUAAUGGCUCACCAAGGCAAUGAUCAAUAGCCGGCCUGA